UGAGGAAUAUUGCGCAAUGGGCGAAAGCCUGACGCAGCAACGCCGCGUGAGCGAUGAAGGCCUUCGGGUUGUAAAGCUCUUUUCUGGGGGACGAGGAAGGACGGUACCCCAGGAAUAAGCCUCGGCUAACUACGUGCCAGCAGCCGCGGUAAAACGUAGGAGGCAAGCGUUAUCCGGAUUUACUGGGCGUAAAGCGCGUGCAGGCGGUUUGGUAAGUUGGAUGUGAAAUCUCCUGGCUCAACUGGGAGAGGUCAUUCAAUACUGCCAGACUUGAGGGCGGAAGAGGGGAGUGGAAUUUCCGGUGUAGUGGUGAAAUGCGUAGAUAUCGGAAGGAACACCAGUGGCGAAGGCGGCUCCCUGGUCCGUGCCUGACGCUAAGACGCGAAAGCUAGGGGAGCGAAUGGGAUUAGAGACCCCAGUAGUCCUAGCUGUAAACAUUGGAUACUAGGUGUAGGGAGUAUUGACCCUCUCUGUGCCGAAGCUAACGCGUUAAGUAUCCCGCCUGGGGACUACGGCCGCAAGGUUA
rnacentral:rRNA from 1 species